CCUAUCUAGAAAGUGAAGUUUAAUUCUCUAACUGAACUUAGUGACUGACUUACAAAGAACAGAAUAUGGAAAGGAAAAAAUAGUAACUUUCAAUGGAGAGUCCUGAAAAACCACUAUAGUCACUAAGUACUGCCAUCAUCAGUAAUAAGUCAUGUUGUUAGCAUGUACCCCCUGGUAUAAUGUGAUAAGAACACUUCACUUCUGUGGUAUUUUACCCAAAAUUUCAUAAUCGCAGUAUAUGGAUGAGUAAAACAUCAGAGAAAACCAAAUGGAGGGAUAUCCUACAAAAUGCCUAACCAGUUACUCCUCAAAAAUGUCCAGGUUGUAAAAAACAAAAAAGACUGAGAAACUAGUAAGGAUCAGAGGAAGUUAGAGAGAUACGCAACAUAAGUGCAAAUAAAUGCAACAUGGUGUCCUUGAUGGGAUCCUGAAAUAGAAAAAAAAGGCAUUAGUAGUACAACUGAUGAAAUCCACAUAAAAUUUGUGGAGUUUAGUUUAAAAAUAGUGUAUCCAUAAUUAUCUCUUGGUUUUGGUGAAUCAAACCAGUUUUUUUUUUAAGAGAUUACAUUAGGAAAAAUAAGGUGAUGGAUAUUUAUAGGAACUCUCUAUUCUCUUUGCAAUUUUUCUACAAAUCUGAAAUCAUUUCAAAAGAGAAGUUUAUUUUCAAAAAAUUUCUAUCCUCUCAUUAAAUUGGUUAAAAGUCUUCAAAGAGUGACAGAAGGUUGUCAUCACGACACUGCUCGACUGGACAAAUGAAUGCUGAGAUUUGAUUCUGGCCUGUGGCGUUGAGAAUGCCAUUCUGUGUAGGAGAUGGUAAGUCAGUUGUUCUCUUCUCCCUAGCCCGAGGAAGACCAAAAACUGCAUCUGCCCUUACAGUGGUUCUGGACACUCUCAGAGAAGAGUCAAAGACCUUCAGAGAAGAAAGAAGAUCGUGGUCUGGAACAGCAUGGAUGGGAUGUGUCAUGAUCUCUCAUGACAAUUCAGCAGCCUGGUGGACCACAGCACAGGGUAGCUUAGAUGUUGGCAGGUGGGGAGAGGCAGAAUCACAAGCUUAUCCAAUUUGCCAGCUGACAAUUUGGCCAUCUCACUGUCUGUGUCUCAAAACCAAUUCAAACAGACGUAUUGCUCAUCCUGAGUGA
rnacentral:lncRNA from 12 species